GCUGGUGCUGAGCACUCGCCCCCCUGCCCGCCUGCCGUCUCUAUGUCUAGAGCUCUUGGAAACAAGACAUAGAGGUGUCUGGUCCUGAGAAGAGGAAGUUUUGCUAAAUGAGAGACACGGCUGACUCAGCUGACUCAGGUUCCAUGACCCCACAAUGUCACUGGUGCUGAGUGACCGCCCACCCACCAACCCACCCACCUCUGUGUUGUGCGGCACUUGGACACAAGACACACACAGGUGUCUGGUUCUGUGCAUAAACGACUUUUCUAAGAGAGACACAGCUGCCUCAGCAGACUCAGG